GACGGGGGCCCGCACAAGCGGAGGAACAUGUGGUUUAAUUCGAUGAUACGCGAGGAACCUUACCCGGGCUUGAACUGCAGGGGAACGAUCCAGAGAUGGUGAGGUCAGCAAUGACCCCUGUGGAGGUGCUGCAUGGUUGUCGUCAGCUCGUGCCGUGAGGUGUCGGCUUAAGUGCCAUAACGAGCGCAACCCUUUUCUCUAGUUGCCAUCAGGUUAAGCUGGGCACUCUGGAGACACUGCCACCGUAAGGUGUGAGGAAGGUGGGGAUGACGUCAAAUCAGCACGGCCCUUACGUCCGGGGCUACACACGUGUUACAAUGGGGAGUACAGCGAGUCGGUUGUAUGCAAAUGCGAUCCAAUCAUGAAAGCUCUCCUCAGUUCGGAUUGGGGUCUGCAACCCGACCCCAUGAAGCUGGAUUCGCUAGUAAUCGCGCAUCAGCCAUGGCGCGGUGAAUACGUUCCCGGGCCUUGUACACACCGCCCGUCAAGCCAUGAAAGCCGGGGGCGCCUGAAGUCCGUGACCGCGAGGGUCGGCCUAGGGUGAAACCGGUGAUUGGGGCUAAGUACGUAACAAGGUAGCCGUACCGAAA
rnacentral:rRNA from 1 species